AUUCACUGUAUCUAACCUUGAUAACGUUUUGAAUCUCGUUGCUUUUACUAACAGACCGGAUUCACAGUCGUGCAGGAUUAAACAUCAGGAUAAUGAGAUGAAGACAUCCUGUCAGGAAAUUGGCAGAAGAUGUUCUACUGCAACAACUGGGAACAAGUCUGUGCUCAAGAGCCAAAGCACCAUGUGGACUCAGCAAGACUGCACACAAUCCCUGAUCUUUAGUUGAGGGAUGUGGAAACGUUUUUUGCCUCUUGGAACUGGAACCAUUUCACAUCCACAUCUUGAUGUACACUGAGGCCUGGAUUAUAACCAUCAUGUCCACAGGCCUGCAAUGAAAAACAGGGAUGGUAUUUUGCUGUGUGUUAAACCUAAUUACCUUACCA